GUAAUUUUUAUUUUAUGUAGGAGGAUAUGAGAAGAGAACAGAAGAUAUAUUAUCAAUACUUGGCACAGCGGCGUGAGGAAGAAAAAGCUCAGGAGAAAGAAUUGGAUAGAAUGUUAGAGAAAGAGAAGGAAAAGAAGUUUGCUGAGAAGGACAAGGAGCUGAGACUUGAAAAGGAGGCAAGAAAACAACUUCUGAAUGAGGUCAUGUGUACAAGAAAACUUCAAGUUCAAGAAAAGUUGCAACGGAAAGCAAAAGAACAGGAAGAACGUACUAUGGAACAGGAACGCAUAAAUGAAGGUCUUAAAGAGCUUAACUGUGAAGAGAGGGAGAAUUUUACAAGACGCUGCAAUUUAGCCCAGGAGUACAGGAAGCAACUUCAGAUGCAGAUAUGCUCCCAGCAGCAGGCUCGGGAAGCAGAAAGGGAAGAGGAGCGCCGAGAGUUUGAAGCGGGGAUAGCAGCAGAAAAGAACUUCCAGGACAAGAUCCAGGAGAUCCUGUCCACCCACCCAAUGGUGCCCCGAAACAUCCAUCCCAUGCGAAGGGCAUGUCCUACUAAGCUUCCGCCAUAGUUGUAUAAGCACCAACCUAUUUUUUCUCAGUCUUUUGCUAUUUUAAAAUACAGUAUGUCUCUUUUAACUCAUGGAUAAAUUGUUCUUUUAUUCUCUGAGUUUCCAUAAUUAUAUGCCAGGAAAUUUUCUUCUUUCAAAUUAAACUACUCCUUUCGUAGACUGACAAAUCUGAAUGAUCCUGUUCCUGUGAUGAUGAAUGAUCCACACAGUUAACAGUCCUGACUUACCUCCAUGCCUCCCUUUCUUGUUCAUUUAUUAAUAGCUUCACUUUCUUUCAUCCAUCUGCCCAUGUGCCCAUUUCCUCUUGCUUCCAUUCUCUUCUCUCCCUCUGUGUUCAUGCCCUUGUGUAGUCCCCUUCCACCCUGAAUCUUGGGCACUAUAUAAAAAAUAUGUGCAUUUACUGGUUAAAACAAAAAGAAGUAAACAUGGUCAUAUUCCUAACACUCAGCAUUGUCAUUAUUUUCACUUCUCUGAGUUCCCUCCCAGGCUUUGCUAUAUGGAUACUCAUUUUUGUUUUGUAAACACACUGCCAUGUUGCUUUACCUACCAUAUUUACAAAUGAAUGCAUAAUAGUCUACUGGGUUAGUGUAUUAUAACUUAUUAAACAAUAGACUUUGAGUUUGUUUCAAAUUUGUCCCUAUAGCAAAUUAUUCUGUAACAACAUUCAUUUGAAUUAUUUCCUUAGAAUCAAUCAACUCCCGGGUGUGGGGUUUCUGGGUCAAAGGGGAUUAACAUUUAUAUACUUUUACUUCCAAGUACCAUAUUUGCAAAAGCAGUUUUUAGAGUUGUAGGUUCUUUUAGGGAAAUGUUUCCCUGACGGUUUAAAAAUGUCUUUAAGCAAAUUGUUUGCUAGAAUUUCUGAGAGGUUUUUUUCUUUAACCUUUCUACCCAUUCAUUCACUCUUACCUCAGCUCUGGGAGUCUACCUUCUCCUCUGGAUCCUUUCAAGCCCCCUUGAAAGUUAAUCUCUAAUCCAAAAGUAGGAGUCUUGGCCAGGAAAAAAAAAAAAAAGGAAAAAAAGAGGACUGUCCUAUAAGUUUUGUUGAAAAUCAGCUGACCAUUAUUAUAAGGGUGUAUUUUCAGACACUCUACUCUGUUCCAUUAAUUUAUUUGUCUAUCCUCAUAGCAACACAACAUGAUGAUAAUUAUUGUAGCCUUAAAUAAGGCUUGAAAUUGGUAGUGUAGCGUCCAAUAUUGUUUUUUUCCCCCUAGUUUUUAUCUAUUGUAGAUUCUUCAAAUAUCCAUAUAAUUGUUAGGAUCAUUUUGUCAGUUUCUACAAAGAUCUACUGAGAUUUCGAUAGAGAUGGUAUUUACUCUAUAGAUCAGUUUGGAGAGAACUCCCAUCUGAACAAUAAUGAGCUUUCCAACCCAUGAAGAAGGUCAAUCUCAUCGUUUGCUUGGGUCAUUUUUAAUUUUUUAAGCAAUGUUUUCUAGUUUUCAGUGUGCAGGCCUCGUGCUUCUUUUGUUAAACUUGUUCCUAAGUAUUUCUCCUUAAUGCUGUUGUGAACAGAAUUGUUUUCUUAAUUUCAUUUUUUGGAUUAUUCAUUAUUAACGUGUAGCAAUCUAACUGAUUUUUGUAUGUUGAGUUAGUAUCCUGUGACUUUUCUAAAUUUACUCAUUAAUUCUAAUAGUUUGUUUUUUAUGUUUUUGUUUGUUUUAGAUGAUAUAGGAUUUUCUACAUUCAGGAUCAUGGCAUUUGAAAAUAAAGGCUGUUUAUUUUUUUCGAGUCUGAAUACCUAUUGUUUCUUUUUCUUACCUUACUGCACCAGUUAGUGCAGCAUCAAGUAUGAUGCUGAAUAGAAGUGGAGAGACUAGACAUUCUUGACUUGUUCCCAGUUUUAAUGGAAAACACUCCACUCAUUUCUUAACCAUUAAGUACUAUGUUAUCUGUAGGUUUUUCUUAGAUGCUUUUUACCAGGAUGAAGUUGUUCCCUUCUCUUCCUAUUUUAUUGAGAGUUUAUAUAUAAAGAGGUAUUGGAUUUUAGCAAAUGCCUUUUUCUGUGCCUGUUAAGUUGAACAUGUGAUUUUUGUUCUUUGUUCUAUUAAUAUGGUAUAUUAUAUUAAUUUAUUUUCAGAUAUUAUCUAACCUUGCAUAUCUGGGAUAAAUGCCAUUUGUCAUUUUUUUUUUUUAAUAAGUUGCUGCAUUUCCUUUGCUUUUUUUUUUUUUUUCUUGCCACUAUGGUUUGUUGUGUGUCUUUGAUCUAGGUCUAUUGUGAUGUCUUGUCUAGGUCUGGUAUCAAGAUAUUAUUGGCCAUGUGAAAUGAGUUGGAGAGUAUUCCCUCUUAUUUUCUGAAUGAGUUUGUGAACAAUUGCCACUAUUUCUUCCUCAAAUGUUGGAUGGAAUUCACCAGGGAUGCCACCUAGGCUUUCUCUGCAGGAUUAUUUUUUAUUGCUAAUUAAUAGUUUUACUCACUUAGGUCUAAUCAAAUGUUCUUUUCUUCUUGAGUCAAUUAUGGUAAUUUGUAUUUUUCUACAAAUUUGUCCUCUUCAUCUAAGUUGUCUAAUUUAAGCACAUAUAAAAAGUGAAACUGAAA